CGGGGCGUAGCGCAGCCUGGUAGCGCGUCAGUUUUGGGUACUGAAGGCCCCCGGUUCGAAUCCGGGCGCCCCGACCA
rnacentral:tRNA from 1 species